rnacentral:rRNA from 1 species
UCUUAGACAAUGGGGGCAACCCUGAUCUAGCCAUGCCGCGUGAGUGAUGAAGGCCUUAGGGUCGUAAAGCUCUUUCGCCUGUGAUGAUAAUGACAGUAGCAGGUAAAGAAACCCCGGCUAACUCCGUGCCAGCAGCCGCGGUAAUACGGAGGGGGUUAGCGUUGUUCGGAAUUACUGGGCGUAAAGCGCGCGUAGGCGGAUUAGAAAGUUGGGGGUGAAAUCCCGGGGCUCAACCCCGGAACUGCCUCCAAAACUGCUAGUCUAGAGUUCGAGAGAGGUGAGUGGAAUUCCGAGUGUAGAGGUGAAAUUCGUAGAUAUUCGGAGGAACACCAGUGGCGAAGGCGGCUCACUGGCUCGAUACUGACGCUGAGGUGCGAAAGUGUGGGGAGCAAACAGGAUUAGAUACCCUGGUAGUCCACACCGUAAACGAUGAAUGCCAGUCGUCGGGUAGUAUACUAUUCGGUGACACACCUAACGGAUUAAGCAUUCCGCCUGGGGAGUACGGUCGCAAGAUUAAAACUCAAAUGAAUUGACGGGG